AGUGAACGCUGGCGGCGUGCUUAAUACAUGCAAGUCGAACGAUGAAGUCCUAGCUUGCUAGGAUGGAUUAGUGGCGCACGGGUGAGUAAUAUAUAGUUAAUCUGCCUUGCACUGAGGGACAACAGUUGGAAACGAUUGCUAAUACCUCAUACUCCAACUUUACAUAAGUUAAGUUGGGAAAGUCUUUUCGGUGCAAGAUGAGACUAUAUCGUAUCAGCUAGUUGGUAAGGUAAUGGCUUACCAAGGCUAUGACGCGUAACUGGUCUGAGAGGAUGAUCAGUCACAUUGGAACUGAGACACGGUCCAAACUCCUACGGGAAGCAGCAGUAAGGAAUAUUGGGCAAUGGGGGAAACCCUGACGCAGCAACGCCGCGUGGAGGAUGACACUUUUCGGAGCGUAAACUCCUUUUGUUAGGGAAGAAUAAUGACGGUACCUAACGAAUAAGCACCGGCUAACUCCGUG
rnacentral:rRNA from 1 species